UGAGCAACACCAUCAGAUGAUUAAAAGAGAUAUUUAUGAAUGUCUUGACCCAUCAUCAGUGUGUGGGCCGAACGCUUACUGUCACAAUUACAAUGGAAGUUACUCGUGCUCUUGUUGGGAAGGAUAUAACAUCAUUGAUGUAUCUCAAAAUAUAAGUAACAGUAACCCAUGCACUGAUGUGGAUGAAUGUGUUGAGAUUCCUGAGGUCUGUGGUCCAAACUCAAUCUGUAACAACACUGAUGGGAGUUACGAUUGCUGGUGUAUGAGUGUAUAUAAUGUAACAGACCCAAACCUCCCUAUAAACAUCAAUAACCCAUG